rnacentral:rRNA from 1 species
UACGUAGGGGGCUAGCGUUGUCCGGAUUUAUUGGGCGUAAAGAGCGUGCAGGCGGCCAGAUAGGUCUGCUGUGAAAACUCGAGGCUCAACCUCGAGCUGUCGGCGGAAACCAUUUGGCUAGAGUCCGGAAGAGGAGAGUGGAAUUCCUGGUGUAGCGGUGAAAUGCGCAGAUAUCAGGAAGAACACCUAUGGCGAAGGCAGCUCUCUGGGACGGUACUGACGCUGAGACGCGAAAGCGUGGGGAGCGAACAGG